UAUACAUAUUUUUCACAGUUUAAAUUUUCAGUGUUAAAAAAUUCAGCAUAUAAAAAAUUUCAACUUUUCAAAAUUCGAAUGCAAUAAUUUCAGUGUCCUCCAAUUCAACUUGCUCAAAUUCGCUGUCUCAAAUUCAACGUCUAAAAAUUCGCUGUAAAAAUGGCGAGGUUACUUCAGGUCACAGACAUUAGCAAUGGAUGUCAGAUUCCAGGACCCAGCUAAUCACGUGACACAACCGUCAUAUUGAAGAAAUACCAGCGUCACCGAGGCUGGCGACCAUGGAGGCGAACGCAAACCCAACGGUGAGUUUAAUGCUUUCAUAUUUCUGUAGUAUAUUUUAUUUUGCGCAUGAAGUUUGAUACAUUACCUUAAAUCUUGAUUUAAAACACGGUUUUGGGCCGUUGUUAAUCUUACACCAUGUAGUGCUGGCAUAUUACCUCUCGCUACCUCCUAGCCCCCCCAGCCCCUCCCCGCUGCCCCACACCCAAUUUACCCCGUUUUAUUUCAAAAAGAAAUACCACUUGCGUCAAGUCUAGAAUCUUGAAAGAGAACUGAUGGGUGGCGACUUUCUGGGUUGUUUGAUGUUGUCUUAGGUGAGACUGAGACAGGCAGUCUUAGUAAAGUGUAAUUUUUCAGGAGAUGCUACCGCUAAUGUACUAAGCUAAUAUGGCUGCUGCCUUGUGUGCUUCAAGGAGGGGCUGUGAACACUUCCGACAUUAAUUAUAACCACAAACCCAUUCUGUUCAGCUACUGUAUUGUUCAGGUGACUUCAUUUAUGAAUGAAUUAAGACAUUUAUUGUCAUUACAACAUCAUCCAAAAUACUGCUUCUCUUAUCUGACAAAUGUUGAUAUACAAUAUUAAUUUACAUUCUUUUUACCUUGCGGUAUAAAACCUCGUUCUGUUACUUAGCAACACUAUAAACAACUCCCUUUGUUUUUUCAAUUGAUUUUAACUCAUUUUCAAGAAAAAUAUAUGCUUGUAAGUACAUCUGUUAACUUAUUUUAGACUAAAUAUCAUAAUUUAAUUUAUAUUACUGUGAUUUCCCAAUACUGACCUACUGAUUUCAAAAUACUUUUUUAUUUUACUGACAAUUUUUUUGACAUGUUUUUUUUUUCUCUCUUUUCAAGGAACUUUUGCUGGAUCACAUUUUUGAUAGACUCCGUGAUCGUUUGGAGCAUGUUCUUGAACGUAUGCCCCUGGAUCUGGAUUUCCUGGACUUUAUCUGCACUCAAGAACUAGUUUUUUUAAAUGCCAUGUCUUGUCAGAUAGAUGUUCCUUCAAAUAUUUUGGACGCGCUGGCUCAUUUGCACAGACUAAUUAAUUUAGAAAAACAAAGUGAAGAACAACAAACAACUGUUGUGCAUAUUGAGCAAGGACCAGCUGGGCGACAACGGAUGGUCAUAUCCUCAGACUACCUUUGCAGUCUUUUAGAACUCCAUCUCCCUGUCCCAUGCAUCGCCAAACUCUUGGGUAUAUCUAGACGGACUGUAUAUCGACGGAUGGCAGAAUCUGGUCUUUCAGUGAAGGCAUUAUACACCACCAUGUCAGAUGAUGACUUAGACCAAUGUGUGAGAGACAUUAAAUCCAGGCAGCCUCACUCUGGGUACCGAAUGGUAAAGGCCCUUCUGCAAGCCAGAGGACUGAGGGUGCAGUAUGAUAGAGUCAGAGCGUCCAUGCAUCGUGUAGACACCAUUGGAAUGGCAUCACGUAUGGUCCAGCUAGGAUGCAUAGCUCGACGGACGUACUCAGUUCCUGGCCCUCAGUCUUUGAUGCACAUUGACACCAACCACAAAUUAAUACGGUAAAUCAUUUAUCUUUUUCAGUGAGGGGCUUCUAACUUUGAAGUGUGCUUGUUAAAUAGAUUCAACUCAUGUAGAAUUUUUUUUUUUUCAUAGCAUGUCUUAUACCUUUUGGAAAUAAAAGCACAACUUUUUUCAGUAUUAUAUACAUUGGUGUAUAAAGUGUGACCACACCAGCCAGUGUCCUGCAUGUUGUGCUUCAAUAUAGCCAAAUAUAAGCAGUACCUGAUCUUCCUCUGCAGACCUCGCUUCAAAUUAAAUUCAAAUAUUUUCUUAUUCUAAAGGAAAAUUAAAUGUUGUAACUCAUUAAUUUAGGUUAUUCAAAGAGUUAUUGCAGAUAGUGAUGACUGCUGGCAGGAAAGAUCUCUUGUAGUGUUCUGUAUCACAGUCAGUCUAAAGAAGCCUUUGACUGUAAAUACUCUAUUUUCUCAAGAUAGUUUCAUGAAGAUGUUGUCAGAGUCAGGGUUGCCCAGCAUUUUCUAUUUAUGAAGAAUCCUUCUUUGCAUAAGUAUCUCCAGAGGUUCCACAUUUGUCCCCAGAACAGAACCAGCUUCUUUAUUAGCCUUUUUAGUUCCCUGGUUCUGAUAUUGCUGCCCCAACAGAUGACGGCUGAAGAGAUGAAGCUCUCAACAACAGACUGAUAGAAGAUCUGCAGCAUCUUCCUGCAAACUUUGAAAGAACUUAACUUAUUCAAUAAGUCCAAUUUGCUCUGUCCCUUCUUACAGACAUGCGUAAUGCAAGAGAAGCAAGCCUUUUUAGUGAUGAUAUUUAAUGAUGAUGAUGACAUACUGUAUUUUCUGUUCUUUUUAGGUACAACAUUGUUAUCUUUGGUGGCAUUGAUGGUUUUUCUCGAAAGAUAAUGUAUCUUGGUACAGCUCCCAACAACCUGGCAUCUACCACACUCGCUUUCUUUCAAGGUUCAGUGGAGGAGUUUGGUUUCCCCCUCAGGGUACGUGCUGAUCAAGGGGUGGAAAAUGUGGACGUGGCACGACUUAUGUUUAUGAUUCGUGGAACAGGAAGAAGCAGUUUCAUAUCUGGAAAAAGUGUGCACAAUCAAAGGAUUGAGCGACUGUGGAGAGAUCUGUGGACAGCUGUAAUUUG